rnacentral:lncRNA from 1 species
CAGUGUUGGCCCAAGUCAGAUGGUUGAAUGAAAAUGGAGCUUCGAUUAAUGUGAGACAAUAUGCCUAGAUUUUCAGCUUAUCUCUCUCCGAUUGGCUGACCUAUGUCAGCAUGGAGGUGGAUGACUAUCUACAGGUCUGUGACUUGUUCACUUCUGAUGGUAAAGACUGGAGAGCAUAGGAUGUCAUCUAUCUUUUUUGGUGGUUUGCUCGC